rnacentral:rRNA from 1 species
UCCUACGGGAGGCAGCAGUUAAGAAUCUUGCGCAAUGGGGGAAACCCUGACGCAGCGACGCCGCGUGGACGAUGAAGGCCUUCGGGUUGUAAAGUCCAAUAAGCGGGGAAGAAUAAGCAACGGGUAAUAUUCGUUGUGAUGACGGUACCUGCCUAAAGCCCCGGCUAACUACGUGCCAGCAGCCGCGGUAAUACGUAUGGGGCUAGCGUUGUUCGGAAUUAUUGGGCGUAAAGGGCGUCUAGGCGGGGAAUUAAGUUAGGUGUGAAAUCCCUGGGCUCAACCCAGGAACUGCAUCUAAAACUGGUUCUCUUGAGUUCGGGAGAGGAGAGCGGAAUUCCCGGUGUAGCGGUGAAAUGCGUAGAUAUCGGGAAGAACACCAGUGGCGAAGGCGGCUCUCUGGCCUAGAACUGACGCUGAAGCGCGAAAGCGUGGGGAGCGAACGGGAUUAGAUACCCCGGUAGUCCU